UUUGCUAGCCACAUUAGUAGCAUAACAGGACAUGGUUUUGCUCUGUUUCUCACCUUCAAGCAACCCCAAGGCUUAGUGUUAUCGCUCUACGAGAGAAAAAUGUCUAGGGAUAAAUUUCCAAGGAUUAAAACGCCAUCUCAAAUGUUUUGAUUUACAAGCACUCGGUAUGAAACCUGUGCGUAUUCUGUUCGUGAUUUGGGGGUUUCUUGUGAUUUUUGGAAAAGCGCAACUUCCGGUCCCCACCUCCAACCAGAAUCUUUACCUUGACAACAACAAUUUUUUCCAGAGUGCACUUAUUGAGGAGUAUCUUAAUACAUUGUGCACGGCGUACGAUGGCGAAGUUUAUAUUUUCCUUGGAAUUGAUGCUAUCCCACUAUGUCAACCAAAAACUAGAAAGGACCGGAAACUACUGCUGUUCUUACUUCUACUGCUUCCAAUGAGCAAAAUCAUGGUGGAAUUAAUAGAUGGAUUGACCCCCGACCCUCCGGAUCCCACCACGCCCGCGCCACCAACCACGCCCCCUGUUCCCCCCGCUGGUUAACCUAUCACCACUACCCUAGCUGUUCAAUCGCCAUAUCACCUUUGUUUUCAUCUAGUCUUAUUUAUUGAUUUAAUAAGUUAAUAUAUAAUGCAAAAAGCCAAAAACAGUAUACUGUCAGAAAAUAAAUGUUACAUUUUGUUUUAAUAAAGUAAAUAAUCAUGAA